rnacentral:lncRNA from 1 species
GUAAGCUUGAUAGACAUACAGCUGAAACUUUAAAAUCUUUGUUUUUCUGCAGAGCAAGUGUGAAUCAAACCAUUCUGAAACAGAACUGCUGAGAAAACAACUGGGAAAUGAAAAAGCAUCUAUGAAAAACCUGGAAUCUUCUCUUGUGUCCAAUUGUGAGAAGGAAUUUCAGUCACAGAGAGCAAACCAAGAGAAAGCCUCUGAAAUUCAGGUUCACAAGGAACAGCUUGCUUUAGUAGAAAAUAAUCUAAGGUGAUCACAAAACAGUUUGAGAUAUGUGAUCUUGGUCUAUAAAACUAAUACCCUAUCAUCUAAAAGGUGAGAAGCUGAUAUUAGAUAAACUUACUACAGAUAAAAAGAGUUAUUUUUGGGAGUGGAUAUGCUGUGCAGAGGCCAUGUCCUAAGAUGUAAUUCUUUAGUUGCAAUGAUGAUGCUUUUCCAUGUAACAUAAUGAAAAAGUCAGUAAAGAGGGGCUAGGUGCUCAUCUGAAAAGUAAAAGCAGAAGAUUCUUUAGCAAUCUGGACUUUAAAACUCUUCUCUUAUGCAGAAAGGAGUAAAGGAAUAU